rnacentral:rRNA from 1 species
CCUACGGGAGGCAGCAGUGGGGAAUCUUGGACAAUGGGCGCAAGCCUGAUCCAGCAAUGCCGCGUGCGUGAAGAAGGCCUUCGGGUUGUAAAGCGCUUUUGUCGGGGAGCAAAAGCUCAGUGCGAAUAACACUGGGUCUUGAGAGUACCCGAAGAAUAAGGACCGGCUAACUACGUGCCAGCAGCCGCGGUAAUACGUAGGGUCCAAGCGUUAAUCGGAAUUACUGGGCGUAAAGCGUGCGCAGGUGGCCUGCUAAGCGCGAUGUGAAAUCCCCGAGCUCAACUUGGGAAUUGCAUUGCGAACUGGCAGGCUAGAGUAUGGCAGAGGGGGGUGAAUUCCGCGUGUAGCAGUGAAAUGCGUAGAGAUGCGGAGGAACACCGAUGGCGAAGGCAACCCCCUGGGCUAAUACUGACACUCAUGCACGAAAGCGUAGGGGAGCAAACAGGACUUAGAUACCCUGGUACGUCCACGCCCUAAACGAUGUCAACUAGUUGUUGGGCUCUUCGGAGCUUAGUAACGCAGCUAACGCGUGAAGUUGACCGCCUGGGGAGUACGGUCGCAAGCUAAAACGUCAAAGAGAGUAGAGACGUUGAGACGNGCCGAGGACGACGACGAGGGAGGAGG